rnacentral:rRNA from 1 species
AUUGAACGCUGGCGGCAGGCCUAACACAUGCAAGUCGAGCGGAUGAAGGGAGCUUGCUCCUGGAUUCAGCGGCGGACGGGUGAGUAAUGCCUAGGAAUCUGCCUGGUAGUGGGGGAUAACGUCCGGAAACGGGCGCUAAUACCGCAUACGUCCUGAGGGAGAAAGUGGGGGAUCUUCGGACCUCACGCUAUCAGAUGAGCCUAGGUCGGAUUAGCUAGUUGGUGGGGUAAAGGCCUACCAAGGCGACGAUCCGUAACUGGUCUGAGAGGAUGAUCAGUCACACUGGAACUGAGACACGGUCCAGACUCCUACGGGAGGCAGCAGUGGGGAAUAUUGGACACUGGGCGAAAGCCUGAUCCAGCCAUGCCGCGUGUGUGAAGAAGGUCUUCGGAUUGUAAGGCACUUUAAGUUGGGAGGAAGGGCAGUAAGUUAAUACCUUGCUGUUUUGACGUUACCAACAGAAUAAGCACCGGCUAACUUCGUG